rnacentral:rRNA from 1 species
AUUGAACGCUGGCGGCAGGCCUAACACAUGCAAGUCGAGCGGAUGAAGGGUGCUUGCUUCUGGUUUCAGCGGCGCACGGGUGUGUAAUGCCUAGGAAUCUGCUUGGCUGUGGGUGAGGACGUCUGGAAACGGGCGCUACUACUGCCUACGUCCUGCUGGAGCUAGUUGGGGGUCUUCGGACCUUACGCUCGCAGGUGAGUCUAGGUGGGAUUAGCUAGUUGGUGGGGUAAAGGCCUACUAAGGCGACGAUCCGUAACUGGUCGGAGAGGAUGAUCAGUCGCACGGGAGGUGAGACACGGUCCAGAGGCCUACGGGAGGCAGCAGUGGGGAAUGUUAGACAGUAGGGGAAAACCUUGUACAACCAGGCCGCGUGUGUGGAAAAGGUCUUCGGAUUGUAAAGAACGUUAAGUGGGGGGAAAGGGCAGUAGGUUGAUACCUUGCUGUUUUGACGGUACCAACAGAAGAAGCACCGGCUAACUUCGUG